rnacentral:rRNA from 1 species
UACGGGGGGGCAAGCGUUGUUCGGAAUUACUGGGCGUAAAGGGCUCGUCGGCGGCCAACUCAGUCGGAUGUGAAAUCCCCAGGCUUAACCUGGGAACUGCAUCCGAUACUGGAUGGCUUGAAUCCGGGAGAGGGAUGCGGAAUUCCAGGUGUAGCGGUGAAAUGCGUAGAUAUCUGGAGGAACACCGGUGGCGAAGGCGGCAUCCUGGACCGGCAUUGACGCUGAGGAGCGAAAGCCAGGGGAGCAAACGGG